UCGCAAGAUUGAGACUACUGUGCUGCUAAGUGCUAUGUUCUUCUUGCUCUUCCUGCCUGCCAUGUUCUGUUGCAGCCCAGGGAUGCUAGGUCUCACACAU
rnacentral:snoRNA from 1 species